CCUUGGGUCCCAGGACCAGGAGUUUUCUGGCCGCCCCACGGACUAUUUCCGGAGCCUUGUUCCCACCCUGCCCCUCGCCCCCUCUCCCGAGCCCCCAGCCACCUCCCCACGACGCUGCACGCUAGCCAGCGGAGGAUGUGGCAUCUCCUCGCACUGAGUCCUGUCUCUUCCAGCCGCUGGACCACACUCCGACUCCACUGGGGCUCCUUCUGCCUCCCCGUCCACAGGCGUUUACCAGCCACACCAUGCUGGGCCGCCUCAACACGUCCCUGUCUGAUGCCUGGCAUUUUGAAAUGACCGGCUUCCAAAGGCUGGGCACCACCGCCCAGAAAACCUCCCCUAUAGGUCCCGCUGGAUUUGGGUCCUUCCCCGGUCGCCCAUCGUAGCCAUUGUCACACAGAACGUAACCGCCUCUGGACUGGCAGCUCUGAAACCAAUCUCUCCCACCCUGGUCUCCCCACACCCA